CCCUGAACAAAGUGUAAUAAAUUCUUCUGGCCAGAUAUAGCUGAGCUGCCAAUGUCAAAUCCUUCUGCCGUUCCUGUGGUAAAUGCCAGAGAAUGUCAUCAAAAGGAAAAGUGCGACUAGUUCCCUUGAAGCCCUUGCCCAUAAUCACGGAACUCUUCUCGAAGAGUUGCCAGUAACAUAGUAGGACCUGUCACCACCCUCAUGUGAAGAACACCGGUAUAUCCUCACAUUAAUUGAUUUUGCCACCGGAUUUCCAGGUACUUUCUGACCGAGGGACUCGGUUCACUUCACAGCUGAUGGGAGAACUUCAUAAGAUGCUGGGAGUGAAGCCGGUCUUCACCACACCAUAUCCAAGUGGUAACGGUAGAAUUGAAAGAUUUCGAUUUCAUUUCACCCUUAAGGCCUGUCUAAGAAAAAUCUGUUCGGAGAAACCCCGAGAAUGGCAUAGAUACCUUCCUGCCACCCUGUUCGCUUUAAGAGAAUUGCCAAGUGAUAGAACCGGUUUCUCUGCUUUUUAACUCUUCUACGGUAAAGCAGUAAAAGGUCCCCUUCUGGUUUUGAGGGAGUUAUGGGAAAAUAGGAAUUUAAAUGAUGACCGUUCAAGCUUUAAGUACGUGAUUGAGCUGAAGGACAAAUUGGCCGCUCAGGACUCCUGUCGGUGCCAGCCGCUACAAGGCAUACUUCGACCUGAGAUCUUAAGAUCGUAAGUUCAAGCCAGGUGACGAAGUCUUGAUACUACUUCCUGACACCACCAACAAACUACUGAUGUCCUGGUCUGGUCCUUGUCCGGUACUAGAGAGGAGUAGCUGCAACUACUUAAUUGAAGAAAAAGGUAAGCAUCAUGCCAAUCUCCUCAAACGGUACUUUCGAAGAGCUAAUGUCCAGCAAGCUAAUGUCCAGCAAGCUAUUGUCUUGGACGAACCUCUUCCUUUGCAUACCAGCACAGAUUUGCAGUUCUCCUCAGUAAAUGAGGAAAGUGAAAGUCGGCCAGAAUCUUCACCGAUAACUCCCGACGGUCGAGAAGAUCCAGAAGAGACUAUGAUUUCCCAGGAUCCAGAUGUAUAUGAGUCGUUACCUGAGGCUGAGAGGGAUGAAUUAAAGGAAGUCAUUUCCACCUUUAAAGAUGUGUUCUCUGAGAUACCGGGAUGUACUACCACUGUGACACAUGAUAUUGAAAUAAGUUCCACAGAGUGAGUUAAACCCAAGCUCUAUCCUAUUCCAGUUUACUAGAGAUCCCAUUUUGAAGAGGUAAAUCAACUUUUGCAGCAAGGAAUCGUCCAACCUUCCUCAUCCCCUCAUUGUUCACUGGUUGUCAUGGUCAAGAAAACGACUGGUAACUACCGGAUGGCCAUUGACUACCAGGCCCUUAACUCCAUCACUCGUUUCCACGCUGAGCCGAUCAAUACUAUCACCGAGGACCUUCACAAAUUUUUUGGUAGUAAAUAUUUCAGUGAACUUAAUCUCACAAAAGUGUGUAUCAGAUCCCCUUAACUGAUAAAGCUCGUCCAUUCACAGCUUUCCCGACCCAGCAAGAACUUAAGGAAUUCUGUCUUCUCCCAUUUGGACUGGUUACAGCUUGCGCCACCUACAUCAGGCUAAUGAGGGCAGUUCUUUCUGGUUUGCCAAGCGGGUCCUUCUACUUCAACAUAUUCAUUUACGGAGUUACCUAGAUGUCAUUUACGGAGUUACCUAGACAGAACAUCUCGACGCCUUGAUAUCUGUACUUCACCGUCAUCGUGAACACGGCCUUGCAGCUCGUCCUAAGUGUCAGUUUGGACCUAAGUGUCGGUUUGGAUAUGGAUGUAUAAAGUACUUGGGGUUCAUCGUUGAUGGUAAGACAUUACAGCCCCAGUAUGAUAAAGUAACUGCUAUUGGUCAGGCUAAACCCCCAUCUACAAAGUAGCUUCUUCGAUCCGUCUUAGGAAUGCUUUCGUUCUAUAGGAUUUUCAUCCCGCAGGUGUCCUCUUACACCUGCUGCCUGUCAAUCUUCUACGCAAGGGUGUCCCGGAACCCCUAUCAUGGACCGACGAACAUAAGAAAAGCUUCUGAUAUCUCAAGACCUGCCUCCAGUCCGAACCUGUUCAGAAGCUACCUGAUCCCUCUCUUCUCCUUCAGUAUGUUGAUUCUUGUCCUCACCCUGUAUCAUAUGCCAGCAGGAAACUUCUAGACAGAGAACGGAAGUCUUCGACAGUGGAGAAGGAAUGCCUUGCUGUUACUUUUGCUGUUCAACACUACGGCUACACCUGAAAGGAAAAGUUUCUUCUAGAAGUGGAUCGCAAGCUCUAGUGUUUGUGAUCUCUCCAACUUCAAAAGUACCAACGAUUGACUGUUGAGGUGGGCCCUAAUGUUACAGGACUACAGAUUCCGUGUUGUACAUAUUCCUGGGAACGAUAACGUUGGGGCAGAUUUUCUGAGUAGGACUUAAGUUAAUUUAGCUUUCUCUUAUAUUGAUAAUAAGGUAACUGGUUUGGGUAUUUGCUUACCUUGUCUUUUAUCUCGAUACCUGUAUCGAAUCUUGGUGAGGGAGGUGUGUGACGACAAGCCAGUAGGGUUAUUUGCUCAACUACCUAUCUCUCGACCACCCUAUCCUUUUCCUUAUUUUCUUUCCUCGCUCAAUAAGCGUUUCAUUUGUUUCGGUGUUGCCUUCGUUGUUUAUCCAAUUUCGUUACUUCAGAAGCUUCGCUUCGGAAUACCACCUCGAAGUGAGCCCACGCUACUGUUCAUCAUACCUUCGAACGUUCGACUCCUCGGGUAUUUGGCUUCACCGGAGGUGUUGUGUGGUUCCCCGCGACCUACCCAUGCAGACUCAACUGGGCCUUGGUGGAGUUAGCACCUCCACUUCUACUUCUCAGUCUGGUGCCCUGUCUCCCCGUGACAACCUCUACACCGGCCGCUGACGAGGAUUUGUGCCACUCCCCACACAGCCUGGAACAUCUGGACCAACCUUAGUACCAGCCUAGUCCCUCUUCCAGCUGCUCGCGUCCGCCUGGCCCGUAGCUGUCGCCGGCUCCUGUGCGAGUCCUCGUUACACUCUUCGGACUUGGCCUACCUCUUCCCUUCAGCCGCCAGCUUCACCUCCACCCCUUUACAUCACGGACCUGGCCUGACUCCUCUUUGGGCCCUUUCAUCACCUUCUACUUCAACACCCGUUCUACGCAGACUGGCUCCCACUACCAAUCUCUUUCCCUGUGGUCAUCCCAGUGGACUCCGUCUUAAGUAUAACCAGUACUCUGUUUACAUCACCCAAUUGUUUGUUGUCCAGUAUAUUUCGGAACUUGU